UACGUAGGGGGCAAGCGUUGUCCGGAUUCACUGGGCGUAAAGCGCGCGCAGGCGGUCUUCUACGUCUGGGGUGAAAACCCGGGGCUCAACCCCCGGGACUGCCUUGGAUACGGGAAGACUUGAGGAUCGGAGAGGCAAGGGGAAUUCCACGUGUAGCGGUGAAAUGCGUAGAGAUGUGGAGGAACACCUGUGGCGAAGGCGCCUUGCUGGCCGAUUUCUGACGCUGAGGCGCGAAAGCGUGGGGAGCAAACAGG
rnacentral:rRNA from 1 species